AGUUACCUGAAGAGAGAGCUCUCUUUGGAAGCUCUGGGCUGGGGGUGGCCACUAAGGGGAGUGGGUGGAGCAGCAGCAUUGGACUUGCAGGGCUCACAUGCAGGUGGCUCUUAUUGUCGGGAAGUCACCUUGUUCUGAAAUAGAGAGAUGUGAAGGAUAAAAAUCAAGCCUUUGGAGGCAACAUGCCUGGACUCAAAUCCUGGCUCAGUCACUGGCUAGCUGUGAGCCUUGAAUAAGUCAUUUUACCUCCCAGGGACUCAAAUUUUUGCAGGGCUUUGGUUGUGAGGUUUAAAUGGAGUCUUACUCAGAGUCCCCUCGAUGGUUCAAAGGGACCCCCAUCCAUCACUGAACCCCAGAAGCCAGUGGGAAGGAGAACAAGCAACACAGGACACAAGAGUCAGCUCUCAGAGCACAGAACAUGGUGGAAAAGAGCAGAGAACGGAUCUGGGCAGCAGGCUGGCCAAGAAUAGCCUGCAGAAAAACAUCACUCAUCACUCCUAGUAAAGACCAGUUGCCAGCUUCUUCCAUCCAAAUGAAGACAAACACCACUGUUCCCCCUGAUCCUGGGACAGGGAGGUCUGCCAUGGGUUAAGGUCAGCCUUGCUUCAUCCCAAGGACAAACUCUGAAGGAAGAGUCUGUGUGUCCUGGAUCUGUUGCCUGCUCUAGACCAAUCAGAGGACUGGAGGUGGGAAGCUCAUCUAUAAGAAUUCAUUUACAAUGGCAACAGAAAAAAAUGCAUGUAUAUACUCUGUUAUAUGGGCUGUUGGUGUAACAGGAAAGGCAAGAACUGUAUGAAAAAAUUUACUUUUAAAAGGCUUAAAUUGGAGCACCUGUCAUGGCUCAGUGGUAACAAACCUGACUAGUAUCCAUGAGGAUGCAGGUUUGAUCCCUGGCCUUACUCAGUGGGUUAAGGAACUGGUGUUGCCGUGAGCUGUGGUGCAGGUUGCAGACGAGGCUCAGAUUUGGCAUUGCUCUACGCUCUGUGCUGGUGUAGACCAGCCGCUACAGCUCCGAUUCAACCCCUUGCUUGGGAACUUCCAUGUGCCCUGGGUGCAGCCCUACAAAAAUAAAUAAUAAAAUUAAAAUAAAAUGCCUAAACUA
rnacentral:lncRNA from 1 species